GUUGCAGCUGCCUGGCCAGCCCGAGAGACAGCGGAGAUUCAUUACCCGCCGACACAAUGACCAUUGAUGGCCCCGUGGCGUUAUUCAAAUCCAGUACCAAUUGCAGCCGAGCCCCUUUCUCCGCGCCAGGCCCGUAUUGUUGGAGCGGCCCACUAAAAGCCCGCCCCGGCCCCGAGCCGCCAGAGGCGCCCGCUCGGGUUCAGCCCUACGCCUCGGCAGCCCGCCGGCUCCCAGUCCGGCUCCCCGGGCGCUGCAGGUGACCCGGCGGCGCAUUCCAGCACUCCCCGCCGCCCGGGCCACCGCCGCCACCGCCACCGCAGGCGCCCCGGCCGCGACUCAGCCACAGGAAAGCGGAGAGCGCCCGAGCCGGUGCGUGCGCGGGGCUGGGCGGGGGCGGGGGACCCACGAAUCCAGUAGCCCGGACCCCGGGCUCGGAAACGCGACCCGGCCUGGGGCUCCUGCCUUCCGGAUUCCCGGAGAUCCCAGGCUGGGGGCAGGGAGAGGAGUCGGGGUUCCCCAGGCCAGACAGAGGAGAUUCCCCCUCAACCUGGGGCGGCGCUGAGACCCAACGCGGGCCACUCUGAGUACUCCGGGCCGCGAUCGAAGGAGCCACGCCAGGGGCGAUGGGGAUCCCCGCACAGGGUCAGGAUCCGCGUGCUUGCUAGUCCACCUUACCGCCGGAUGGGCAGCCGCUGCUGAGCGCCUGCUAGGUGGUCCGACGCGCAGCUCCGAGCUGUCCUGGACUGGCGCUUUUUAGGAGCGAAGGAGAACCCCGCAGGAGACCAGGGCCCUGAACUCAGGGGCUUCGCCACUGAUUGUCCAAACGCAAUUCUUGUACGAGUCUGCGGCCAACCGAGAAUUGUGGCUGGACAUCUGUGGCUGAGCUCCGGGCGCAACAGGGGCGGGGGCCGCAGGGACAGAGCUCAGCGCGGGCGAGACCUCUCGGGGCGGCGGCUGGCUGGCCCCAGCGCGAGGAUCGCGGUCCUGGCCCGCGCGCACAGAGACGCCGGUCCCUGCCACCAGCGCCGCCAUCCGCAGCCUCGUCCUUCUUCCUUCUCCUCUGCGGGUGACCAGUCCCGGCCAGCAGGGUCCUCCAGUCGAACGCGUCGUUUUUCCUCCUUUCAAAUUUCGGCCGGAACGAAGCCGGCACGCAGCGGCGGGGCCGAAUGUGGUCCGCCCUCAGCCCAAGCCGCAGGAAGACGGGGGUGAAAGAAGAGGCCGGCCGAAUGCGCUCGCUAACUCGUUUCGCAGUUGUUCUAACUUAUCACCCCAAUACUCCCUACCUAAACAAAACAAAUCCUCAACCAACCCCUAAAUCCCAAACAAACCAACCCCUCCCGCAAGCCCCUCCGGACGGACCGAUGGGCUGAGCCUCCUCCAGCGGCUGCCAGGGUCCGACGGGCAAGCGUCGCCAACGAUACGCUCCAGCCCGGCAAUCUCCUCGGCUUUGGAAAUAGAAUUUGGAAAAACGAAUCCUUUUCAUUAAAGAAAAAUCUUCGGAGAUA
rnacentral:lncRNA from 1 species